rnacentral:rRNA from 1 species
CAGUGGGAGAGACUAGAGAGCGUUCGGGGCAGAAGGAAUUCCUGGUGUAGCGGUGAAAUGCGUAGAUAUCAGAUGAAGAACACCGGUGGCGAAAGCGUUACUGCUAGGCCGCGCGACUGACACUGAGGGACGAAAGCUAGGGGAGCGAAUGGGAUUAGAUACCCCAGUAGUCCUAGCCGUAAACGAUGGAUAGCUAGGCGUGGCUUGUAUCGACCCGAGCCGUGCCGGAGCUAACGCGUUAAGGCAUAAU